CUCGCUUCCAUUCGGUCCUCCUUUUGUUAACGCUCUGGCAUCAUGUCUACGCCAGCUCCCGCGCAAUCCGGCGCCAUCGCGCUUUGGGCGAGCAUGGCCAUGGGGAGUAGAGAGGUGGAAACCGAGCUGACGCCUGCCUGACCCUGGCGAUGGUGGCGCGCGCCGGGAAGGACUGAUUGGAGAAUGGCGCCAAAUGGGUCACGGAUGGCGAGGGGGCACAGGAGCUCUCGAUGUGACCUGGCGCUGUGGAUGUGAUGCACAGCAGCUUGAGUGGGACUGCUCCGCUGUCCUCAUGAGAGAACGCUUUUUCUGAAGAUGGGAGGUGGCUAAUGAAAGAAGGAAUUGUGUUCUCGGUGAUGCCUGGAAGAGAUGCGUGACGUUGGAAGAUGAUUACGAAAUACAGGAAAGGAAUGAAAUCAAAGGAUGUUUUUUGUAAGAGUAACACUUACAGAAAUAUUCAUUAAUUUGAAGAUUUAUAUAAGGCCUGGUGACCUCCGUUAAUUCCUGGGACCCACAGUGUGGAAGAAGAGACCUGACUCCUGAAAGUUGUCUUCUGACCACAUAUACACAAUAUGUAAAUAAAUGUAAUUAAAAAAUCAAAAUAGUAAAACUGAAACAUUAGAAUGUUGUGUUUUAUUGAAAUGUAAACAUGGUGCAAAGGAUUAUGGAACAAUGCUGGAUGCU
rnacentral:lncRNA from 1 species